rnacentral:lncRNA from 1 species
GUUUUCAUUCUUUUUCAGGAGGAGAUAAAACAGUCCUGUACGCAGCUGUUGCGAUCGCAGCCGGAUGUGGACUUUUAUUUCUUAUCUGCAUCAUCAUGUUCAUAAGGAAGACAAAAAGUGGAGUUGCAGACGUCAGACAGAAGCAGGUUCAACAGCCUUCCAGCUCUGAGAGGAACCACUGUGAUGAUGGUCUGUAUGCCAGAGUUUCACCCAAGAGACCCAGCGCAGAUCAGACCGCGGGAAAAGCCAAAAAGAUAGUGUACGCAACCUUCCAACACAUCCGAAACAAUGAGAGCAACGAGAAUCUGAGAGUGCACCAUCCUGAUCCUGCUGCGAGAUUCGAUGCGAUGGUGGGUAAAUCAGUGAUUUACAGCAGAAUCAAGUGAUCCAGGACUCGUCACAUGGAUUAAAAUUGAAGCUGAACUCAAUCAGCUGAGUGUAAAUAUACUGCAGCUUUGAAUCAGAUGUUUAUAAUAGUGAUUUAAAUGUGUGUCAAGACACAUGACAUUUCUCCCUGGCAGUAGUUGAAUAGGAAGUACGUACCAAUACCACAAACUAAGAAUGUCCAUGGUGGUUAUUUACAUCAUUGUACCUAGAUAUUUUUAAGACCGUGGUUUGUGAUUGGUGCGUCUGUGUGGGGAAGUUACAACCUCAACUAGCUGCAUUUAAACGCCUGUCGAAACUCUUUCUGUUAAUAGCAUGUUUUGUAAUGUUUCCAAAGAUUUGUGUAAUUUUCCAUGAAUUGCAGUCUCGGUGUUACGUGUCUUAGUCACUCUUCAGUAAGCAUCCG